GAUGAACGCUAGCGGCAGGCUUAACACAUGCAAGUCGAGGGGCAGCGGGAGUAGCAAUACUUGCCGGCGACCGGCGCAAGGGUGCGUAACGCGUGAGCAACAUGCCCGUAUCAGGGGGAUAAUCCAGGGAAACUUGGUCUAAUACCGCAUAGUAAUUAUUUUUGGCAUCAAGGAUAAUUUAAAAAUACGUUGGAUACGGAUUGGCUCGCGUGACAUUAGCUAGAUGGUGAGGUAACGGCUCACCAUGGCUACGAUGUCUAGGGGUUCUGAGAGGAAGGUCCCCCACACUGGUACUGAGACACGGACCAGAAUCCUACGGGUGGCUG
rnacentral:rRNA from 1 species